GAUGAACGCUGGCGGUAUGCUUAACACAUGCAAGUCGAACGGACUCUUCGGAGUUAGUGGCGGACGGGUGAGUAACGCGUGAGAAUCUGGCUUUGGGUUCGGGACAACCACUGGAAACGGUGGCUAAUACCGGAUGUGCCGAGAGGUAAAAGAGAAAUUGCCUGAAGGUGAGCUCGCGUCUGAUUAGCUAGUUGGUGAGGUAAAGGCUCACCAAGGCAGCGAUCAGUAGCUGGUCUGAGAGGAUGACCAGCCACACUGGGACUGAGACACGGCCCAGACUCCUACGGGAGGAAGCAGGGGGGAAUUUUCCGAAAGGGGCGAAAGCCUGACGGAGAAAAACCGGGUGAGGGAAAAAGGCUUUUGGUUUGAAACCCUUUUUUCUUAGGGAAGAACAAAAUGACGGUACCAAAGAAAUCAGCAUCGGCAAACCCCGG
rnacentral:rRNA from 1 species